rnacentral:rRNA from 1 species
CUCCUUUGACGUUAGCGGCGGACGGGUGAGUAACACGUGGGUAACCUACCUAUAAGACUGGGAUAACUUCGGGAAACCGGAGCUAAUACCGGAUAAUAUUUCGAACCGCAUGGUUCGAUAGUGAAAGGNGGUUUUGCUAUCACUUAUAGAUGGACCCGCGCCGUAUUAGCUAGUUGGUAAGGUAACGGCUUACCAAGGCGACGAUACGUAGCCGACCUGAGAGGGUGAUCGGCCACACUGGAACUGAGACACGGUCCAGACUCCUACGGGAGGCAGCAGCC